rnacentral:misc_RNA from 1 species
AAGUCGUAACAAGGUUUCCGUAGGUGAACCUGCGGAAGGAUCAUUAUUGAAUGAACUUGACUUGGUUGCUGCUGGUCUUUUCGAAGGCAUGUGCACACUUUGUCAUCUUUAUAUCUCCACCUGUGCACCUUUUGUAGACCUGAAACCAAAUUUCCGAGGCAACUCGGUCGUGAGGAAAUGCUUAACAGCUUUCCUUGUUAGGUUCCAGGGCUAUGUUUUCAUAUACACCAUAAGAAUGUAACAGAAUGUCAUUAUUAGGCUUAGUUGCCUUAUAAACUGUAUACAACUUUCAGCAACGGAUCUCUUGGCUCUC